UCCUGCAGGGGGCAGCAGCAGACAGCUUGUACAUCGCCUCUCAGGGUCCCCUCAGCUCCACUGUGAUCGACUUCUGGAGGAUGAUCUGGCAGCAUGACGUCAAGGUGAUAGUCAUGGCCUGCAGAGAAAUAGAGAAGGGAAAGAAGAAGUGUGAGUGUUACUGGUCUCAGGCUCAGAAGUCUGCUGCUUACGGACCGUUUACAGUCUACAACGU